CAAGAAUUAUCCUUUAGCUAAAUAACAGUUUAUGUUGAGGCAAUCUACCAAUGGUUAAGAGGAUCUUUUGUCGUUAUCAGAAUUCAGUCAUUCCAUGGAGAGACUGAAACUCCUUUUGGUUGGAAAAUUAUAUAUUGUAUGAAUGCAAAUUUCACAUUUAUGGAAAGCCUUCCAUGAUACAUUCUGCAUCUUAAGAAAGAAGCUUGACACCACUCAACUCCCCAUAAACAGUUUGAUUUAAGUCUUCUCAUGAUAGACAGCUCCCUCAAGAGAAAAAGAGAACAUGUUACAACUCGAUACUAGAAACAAAAGCAUUUAACUCGGCAGUCAGAGCAAUCUCAACUCCAAACAUUGGAGGAGCGGGGAGCUUUCUAAAUCACCAUGCUUACUAUGAUUCCAAUUUCUUCACCUGACGAUAGUCAAAAAGCAUAAGCACCAAUUGACUCACAUGAAAAAG
rnacentral:misc_RNA from 1 species